GUGGCACGAGGUCCUGAGAGUGCAAGAGCGGUCAGGGGCCAUGUGUGCAGACAGGAGCGAGGCGCAAUGCUCCCAUGGGGCUGGGGGACGCUUCAGAGUUGGCAAGGGGUGGGGAGCGGGAGGAAGAGGGGCCUGGUGGCGCAGCCUUGGAGGAACAGAGAAAAGCGCCACCCCACCGUGGACCGAUGCACUCGUGGACGGCCACUUCCUGGGCAGAAGCUUGGUGCCUCUGGAAUCCGCCCGGGCGCUCAAGUUCAUUAGUCAUUCAGCGAACAUUUGCGGCUCGCCUAUUUGCCAGGCUCGGAUGGGAGUGACACCGCUGGUAGAGUCAUUUAACCAUGUACUAAGCACCUACUGUGUGUGGUCCCUGUACAAUGAACAAUGGGGAAGACUUCUGCCCUUGGGAAACGAAGUAAACAAGAGGACAGCACGGUGGGCCACUGGGAAGCCAAGCAGGAAAGGCCAGGUCGGGGCUGCUGGCCUGGAGGCUCUGAGGAGAAGCGCACUUGAAUGGACCUGGUGGCGUCGGGCUGAACGACCAGGAAGGGGAUUGCCGAGCUGUAGGAAAGCACUGGCCAGCCUCCUGAGCUGCUGGGACCCCCAGUCUUGGCCUCAAGAGUCUUUCCUCUGCUGCACCAACUCCUUUCAGGAAGAUUAGAAACAACCAACAGUCUUGUAAUUCUUGAUUCCAAAUCAUGAGAGCAGCACGAGCAAAUGUGGCUGAAGCUGAGAACUAGAGAGCCAGCGGGGGACUGGCGAGCAGGAACUCUGCCCACCUGGGAUGCCCACCAAGAGCAGCUUCUGUCUCCUCUUUCACUCUCGUAGGCCACAGCCUGGGCAUCCUGUUUCUCCACUGCCCAUCAGGGAGCCUACUGCUUGCUGCUCUGACAGCUCUGCCCAAGUCUAGAGGCCCACCACGUCUUCAACCUACAGAAAAGACAACCCAGUCACAAGUAUGUUGGGGAGUUUGGUAUGAACCUGCCCCUUGGAAGCCUCUCUGACCAGGGCAACUGAAGGUCCAGGGAAGGCCCCACUCUGGGUCAUGGCUGGCGAAGCCCAACCGACC
rnacentral:lncRNA from 1 species